UUGGUGGUGGGAUAGCCACAUUAAUCCCAAAAACUGCAAGUGGCUUCAAGAGAAUCUUGAACAGAUGGACCAGAAUGUCAAAAGGAUGUUGAAACUCAUUGAAGAGGAUGCGGAUUCAUUUGCUAAAAGGGCAGAAAUGUAUUAUCAGAAAAGGCCAGAAUUGAUCACACUUGUUGAGGAAUUCUACCGCAUGUAUCGGUCAUUAGCCGAGCGUUAUGAUCACGUGACCGGGGAGCUCCGGAAAAAUAUUCCUUCAGAUCUUCAAUCACAGGGGUCAGGCAUCUCUGACGUGGGUUCUGAACCACCCUCCAGGUUGCCCUCUCCUGAUCGGAGGCCAAGCCGUCCUAAACCUGGUCCUCGUGCUGCUGGAUUUGAAUUUUUUCUUGGCGCAGGCGGAAGUAGCUCGGAUCUGGCCAAGGAAGGAGAUGAAUCCUCAACAUUAGAUUCUGAAUCUGAAUCAGAUGAUUCGUCUAUCAAUAAUUACUCAAGUACAAUAAGCAAUGAUGAUGACCAUGGGUUGCGUAAGAAGAUUGGUGAAUUGGAGGUCGAGCUCCGUGACGUGAAAGAGAAGCUUCGCAAGCAACAUGAAGAGGUCUCUGAGAGCUCCGUUAGGGGAUCACAUGUGGACAAUGAUAAUCUUAUCGCAAGGAUAUCUGGGUAUGAAGAAGACCUUAGAAAUGCAAAAGAAAAGAUCCGGUUAUCAGAAGAAGAGAUUAGCAGGUUGAGAAUUGAGCUUCAGAAGUAUGUAUCAGGGGACUUCGUGAAGAACGUCCAUGAGCUUACUGCUGGACAGGAAGCUAAAAUUUCUGAUGAGGGGCUGCAAGAGAAUGCUAUAGAGGAAGAACCACAAGUUUUGGACCCAGAAGGUAAGAUCCGAACACUUGAGGAAGAGUUAAGGAGCACCAUAGAGAAGCUUCAUGAUUCAGAGAAGGAGGUGGAGCGCUUAAGAGACGAACUUAAAAGUAACGGUUCCUCCGUAAAAUUACUUCAUGAGCAGCUUGGAUCAGCACAGAAAGAUAUUUCUGGCUGGAAAGCCAAACUUGAGAGAGAGA
rnacentral:misc_RNA from 1 species